AUGCCACUAAAGACCAAGCCACAAAAAAAUUCACUCACCAAACAACAGGUACCAGAGACAGCGGCAGCGUCAACGAUUGAAAAGAGAGAGGAGACAAAUGAGCAAAAGGAGGCCACUGAAGAAGGGAAACAUGUUCUUCAAACGGCAGACAUCAACGUCACAGAAGACCAAGCCCCAAAAUAUUCACUCACCGAAAAACAUGCAGCAGAGACGGCAGCAGCGACAACGACUGAAAAGCUACAAGACAAAAACGACGGCAGCAGCGAUGAACUCCAAAAGAGAGAACAAGAAGAUGCCCAAAAACCACCACUCAACGAAGAACAAGCACAACAGUCAGCAGCAGCAACGAGAACAAAAGCAGAGACAACAGAAGCAGCAACGACUGAGGAGGUUAGUGCCAACCAGGUCAAGACUGAAAAACAAGACGGAAAAGACCACCAGCAUGACAUGACGGUUCACAAGGAAAAACAUGAUGCUAAGAAAAGCACAGAUGACUCAAAUAAGGAUGGAGCAGAAACUGAACAAAAGGGCACAAUGGAGAAAGGGGGCAAAGAUAGCGAUUCCGUCAACAAAGCCAUCGAAGACCUGUACAAUGCUGUACGCAAGCCAUGGACAAAGAGAGAAAUGGAUGAGCUUUUCAUUACAACGGACAAGUUUGAUGUCAAUCUAGGCCAUGUCGCCGAAAGCUUCAAGGUCGGUAAAUCAGUAUGCACCGAAGCAAUCGAGCCCAUGCUAACAAUCUUGAGAAAACAACUCAAUGGCACACGGAGAAAGAUUCUGUCAUUAAGCAACACUUUCCUUUUACCAUGUUCGUUGUGCGGGUUUGAGCAAGACGAAACUAUAAGUCAUUACUUCACCAUCACAGUUAACAUGCAAAAACAGUGCUUUGAACUCCUUGACUCUUCAACUAAAUAUCCAGGCACAAUAGAAUUCUUCAACAAUGUAACCAGCAAAUUAAUGAAAAUCUGGAAGCACAUAAGCACAGAGCUACAGCUUUCAGAAAAAAGCAUCGACCAUUUCAAAAAGGUCAAACUGCAGGUGCCUCUUCAAGGAGAAGACACAACGGACUGCGCAUUCUAUAUGUACAUGAACCUGAAGCACUACUCCAAUGAUGGAACAGCGGCAACCUUAAAGCCAGAACAAGUACCAGAGUUGAGGAAAAAAUUCUAUAUCAACAAAUCAGUCAACAGAGAGGGAAUACCAAACUGUCACUAA
rnacentral:rRNA from 1 species